CCACUUCAUCCAAAUGGGCUGUUGCCACGGCCCGGUGGGAGAAGAAUAGGGACGCGACACUGCACAGAGGGUUCUGACACGGUAGAAGGUCAGGGUGCAAUGGCCACUUUAUUGAGGGAGAACAAGGACUUAUGUAGGGUUCGGGUAAGGGGAGGUUCAAUAACUAGGGCAGAGC